rnacentral:sRNA from 1 species
UCAAGUGGCUGAACAGCUAAGUUCACGCCGUCCUGCCGCAACACUGUUCUGACCAACGUCCUGUUGG